GGAAUAUUGGACAAUGGGGGCAACCCUGAUCCAGCCAUGCCGCGUGCGUGAAGAAGGCCUUAGGGUUGUAAAGCGCUUUCACUGGUGAAGAUGCUUACGGUAGCCCGAGAAGAAGCCCCGGCUACCUCCGUCCCAGCAGACGCGGUAAUACGGAGGGGGCAAGCGUUGUUCGGAAUUACUGGGCGUAAAGGGCGCGUAGGCGGAACAUUAAGUUAGGGGUGAAAGGCCUGGGCUCAACCGGGGAACGGCCUCUAAGACUGAUGAUCUUGAGUCCGGAAGAGGAUGGCGGAAUUCCCAGUGUAGAGGUGAAAUUCGUAGAUAUUGGGAAGAACACCGGUGGCGAAGGCGGCCAUCUGGUCCGGUACUGACGCUGAGGCGCGAAAGCGUGGGGAGCAAAC
rnacentral:rRNA from 1 species